UACGUAGGUGACAAGCGUUGUCCGGAUUUACUGGGCGUAAAGAGCGCGCAGGCGGUCGUUCAAGUCGAGUGUGAAAGCCCCCGGCUCAACUGGGGAGGGUCACUCGAUACUGAUCGACUCGAAGGCAGGAGAGGGUAGUGGAAUUCCCGGUGUAGUGGUGAAAUGCGUAGAUAUCGGGAGGAACACCAGUGGCGAAGGCGACUACCUGGCUGUUCUUGACGCUGAGGAGCGAAAGUGUGGGGAGCGGAACAGGA
rnacentral:rRNA from 1 species